CCCUUAGAUGUCCUGGGCCGCACGCGCGCUACACUGAGUGUCUGAGAUACGAGUCUGCCUGGUCCGGCAAGGUCUAGGUAAUCGCUAAAAGACACAUCAUGCUUGGGAUAGAUUAUUGCAAAUAUUAAUCUUGAACGAGGAAUUCCUAGUAAGCGCAAGUCAACAGCUUGCGUUGAUUACGUCCCUGCCCUUUGUACACACCGCCCGUCGCUACUACUGAUUGGAUGUUUAAGCGAGGUUCUCGAACUGCUAGCGACUUAGCUUCGGUGAGGUCGCAGUGUGGGAAGUGAACCUAGCUUUGGUAUCUAGAGGAAGUAAAAGUCGUAACA
rnacentral:rRNA from 1 species